GAUGAACGCUGGCGGCGUGCCUAAUACAUGCAAGUCGAGCGAAUGGAUUGAGAGCUUGCUCUUAUGAAGUUAGCGGCGGACGGGUGAGUAACACGUGGGUAACCUGCCCAUAAGCCUGGGAUAACUCCGGGAAACCGGGGCUAAUACCGGAUAACAUUUUGAACCGCAUGGGUCGAAAUUGAUAGGCGGCUUCGGCUGUCACUUAUGGAUGGACCCGCGUCGCAUUAGCUAGUUGGGGAGGUAACGGCUCACGCAGGGAACGAUGCGUAGCCGAGCUGAGAGGGUGAUCGGCCACACUGGGACUGAGACACGGCCCAGACUCCUACGGGAGGCAGCAGUAGGGAAUCUUCCGCAAUGGACGAGAGUCUGACGGAGCAACGCCGCGUGAGUGAUGAAGGCUUUCGGGUCGUAAAACUCUGUUGUUAGGGAAGAACAAGUGCUAGUUGAAUAAGCUGGCACCUUGACGGUGCCUAACCAGAAAGCCACGGCUAACUACGUGCCAGCCGCCGCGGUAA
rnacentral:rRNA from 1 species